rfam:Cordyceps confragosa RCEF 1005 scaffold_1, whole genome shotgun sequence.
GGUCGUGUAGCGUAGUGGUUAUCGCGUUUCGUUUACAGUUAUCACCUUCAUCCGAAAAGGUCGCAGGUUCGAACCCUGCCACGAUCA